UGUGAUCUGGUGUCCUUUCCCCAAGGGGGAUUGCCUUGUGCGAAACUCAUGAGGCUGGAGAUAUCUUAUUGUAAGAGACUACAGGUCUUACCCAAGGGAUUGCACAAUCUGACCUCUCUUCAACAAUUAAGAAUAGGAAAAGGAGUUGAGCUUCCAAGCCUUGAAGAAGAUGGCCUUCCCACCAACCUUCAUUCACUGGAGAUUAAUAGUAAUAAGGAGAUUUGGAAGUCAAUGAUUGAGCGGGGUCGGGGAUUUCACAGAUUCUCCUCUCUGCGACAACUUACAAUCAUUAAUUGUGAUGACGUGGUGUCAUUCCCACUAAAGGCAGAUGACAAAGGAUCGGGGACCACGCUUCCUCUUCCUGCCUCUCUAACAACUCUGUGGAUUUUCAAUUUUCCAAAUCUGGAACGCCUAUCUUCUUCAAUUGUUGAUCUUCAAUACCUCACUUCAUUGUAUCUCUUGGAAUGUCCCAAGCUCAAAUACUUUCCGGAGAAGGGCCUGCCUUCCUCACUUUUGCUAUUAAUUAUCUGGGAAUGUCCGUUGAUAGUAGAGAAGUGCAGAAAGGAUGGAGGACAAUAUUGGGACUUGUUAACCCAUAUACCGCGCGUUGAAAUAGAUGGUAAAUCCGUUUUUGGCGAUAACACAUAGGACGGCUGAAAUAUUUUAUUAUUAGUAUUUUCUUUUUUUUUUCUUUUUUUAAAUUGAGUGUGUUUGUGUAUGUAAUUUUAAAAUUCAAAUCUCAGUUGAAAACUAUUUUAAAUUAAUAUGGCUCGGUAUCGGUGAGUUUUUAUCAUGUAUAUGAUGAGCAUUCGAAUUUUUUUUUAUUAAAUAGUAGAAUGCUUUUUAAAAAAAUGGCAGAAUAGCGCAAUUGCAUUAUUUAGCAGAGACGGACCUUUUAAUGUAUUAAUUAAUUCAGCAUAGGAGGAGCUUGGGAAAAGUUGGUUUGAAAUUUUACCGACUGGACAUAGAAAUAUUCGAGUGUUCUUAAUUUAUUAGAAUAGAUUAGCAUUAUCCAUUGGUCUAUGUAUAAUCUAACCUGCGAAGUGUUAAUUUAGUGAUUAUUGAAUAUUAUAUUUGAAAGUUAUUUACAUUUUGUGUAUGUGUGUGUAUCUAUAUAGAUAUAUAUUUAUAUACAUCUAUCAUUUGAAAUUAAAAUCGGUCGUAUACAAGCCCAAUUUGAGGAGGAUUUGCUGAUUAAUUGGCUGGCAGAGCGUAGUAGUUGAUUAGUAUGUUGUUGUACUACAACGACGCUUACAAAUACCAAUUGAUCACUUAACUGCCUUCCUCACUUUUGCAAUUAUGGAUCUCGGAAUGUCCGUUGAUGAAAGAGAAGUGCAGAAAGGAUAGAGGACAAUAUGGGGACUUCUUAUGUCUGUAUAGAUUUUAAAUGGGUUUUUGAUGACUGAACAGAGGACGACUGAAAUAUUUUAUUUAAUUUUUUUUUUCAAUUGGGUGCGUUUGUGAAUGUAAUUUUCAAGUCCUAGUGGAAUUUUUUUUUUCAAUUGGGUGCGUUUGUGAAAUUGGGUGCGUUUGUGAAUGUAAUUUUCAAGUCCUAGUGGAAAAUUAUUUUAAAUUAAUGUGGUUCGGUGUAGGCGAGUUUUUAUCAUGUAAAUGGGUUUUCGAAUUUUUAUUAAAUAAUAGACUACGUUUUUUUAAAUAAAAGUGGUAGAAAGUAAUGAAUUAAUUUCUUAUUGAGUGUAAAUGUGUAAUUAAUUUCUUAUUGAAACUUCGUUUUUCUUUGACUUAUCCUUCUGCUGUGCCUGUACGGUUAAAUAGAUGUAACAUUUCUUUUCACCAGACUUUUUGCCUUCGGCAAAAUUUGUUUUUACAUCUUACAUGUUAGAUAUAUAAAUGGGGUUUUGAUGGCAGAACAGAGAAUGACUGAAGUAUUUUAUUAUUAGUAGUUUUUUUUAAAACAAAUCGGGUGUGUUUGUGUAUGUAAUUUUAAAUCUCAGUUGAAAACUAUUUUAAAUUAAUAUGGUUCGGUGUCGGUGAGUCUUUAUCAUGUAUAUAAUGGGUUUUCGAAUUAAACAAUAAAAUGCCUUUUUUUUCAAAGAAAAAAGUCAGUUUGCAUUAUUCAGCUGUUGGUUUUAUCUAUCCUUCUGCGGUACGAUUAUAUAUAUGUGCGUGCGCGUGUUUUUUUAUAUAUAUAUAUUCUAUUAUUUUAGUUGUUGGAUAUAUAUAUUCUCGAGUGCUCUUUCUUAUUAAAAUAGUAUGAUUCGACAUAAUUAAUAUAAUUGAAAAUCAAAUUCUUAUGACUGGAUUCACUAGAUCAUCAUUAUUUCGACCAUUUAUAAUCUGACUUGUGAAUUGUUAGUAUGGUGAUUAUUUUAAAUAUUUUAUAUUUCAAAGUCAUUUACAUUUUUUGUGUCUGUGCGUGUAUAUUUGAAAUUACUUUGAUCAUGUAGAGGAAUAAUUUGAGUAAAUUAAAUUUGAUUAAUUAAUAGUAAAUCGAGUAUGAUUUAUUAAAAUAUUUAUACUCUUUAAAUUAAUUCAUUAUAGGCGAGUCCUUGAAUUAAUUGUUUAUAUGCCACCGCUAUUAAUAUUUAUAAAUACAAUUUAUCAGUUAUUGAAUAUUUAGAUUCAUUAAAAUUGUUAUAAUUCAUAUAGAUCUUUCUAUUAACACAUCAAUAUGACAGAAGGAAUGUCUUCAUCAAUUGCAAUGUGAUUUUUUUUUUUUUAAAAUGCAUAAUAUAUGCCAUAGAAAAAAGCUUUUUCUUUUUAAUUUUUCAUUAAAAAUAAACCAAGAGUAUUAAUUUCUUUUACAAAAUUAGGAACCGGAUUUAUAAAAAGCACCUUAUUGUUGUUAAUACAUACAACCAUCCUCAAAAACCCAUCAAAAAACAAUAAACAGCACAUCUAAAGAGAAGCAUCAUACAACAAAACCAAGAAAACAUCACAACACAAAUGGCACAUCAAGCAAAGCAAGCACUUCUUUCUUUAAUCAAUUACAUUUGAGCCUUGGUGGCCUUACUAUCUUCACCGGAAGAAUUACCAGACUCUUCAUCAAUGUUAAUAACCUUGGGCUGCCUCUUCUUCUCCUCAGCAAGCUUUGGCACUGUGAUCCUCAGAACACCAUUUUCCAAAUGAGCCUUAAGAUGAUCAUUUGGAAAGUAAUGAAUUAAUUUCUUAUUAAAACUUCGUUUUUCUUGACUUAUCCUUCUGCUGCGCCUGUACGGUUAUAUACAUAUAACAUUUCUCUUCACCAGACUUUGCCUUCGGUAAAAUUUGUUUUGAAAUCUUACCUGUUAGAUAUAUAAAUGCUCGAGCGUUCUUUAUUAAAAUGGCAUUAUUUCGUCUGGGUAUAAUCUACCUUGUGAAUUGUUGUUUAGUGAUUAUUUCAAAUAUUUUAUAUACAAAAAUUAUUUACAUUUUGUGUGUGUGUCUGUGUGCAUAUAUGAUGAAAUUAAAAUUAUUUUGAUAGGGUGCGAGAGUAAUUUCAGGAUCAUUGGGAGGAUUUGCUCAUCAUACCUUAGGUAUGUGGCUUUUGAUGGCUGAAAUAUUUUAUUAGCAGUAUUCUUUUUUUUUUUUUAAAUCGGGUGUGUUUGUGUAUGUAAUUUUAAAAUUCAAAUCUCAGUUGAACAAUAUUUUAAAUUAAUAUGGUUCGAUGUCGGUGGUUAAUGGGUUUUGGAAACAAAAGGAAAAGCGGUGAGUAGAACAAUUGUUUAAUUUGAUUUAAUUGUUUCCGUGUCAUUGCUAUUAAUAUUUAUAAAUAGAAUUUAUCAGUUAUUGAAUAUUUAAAUUCAUCAAAACUGUUAUAAUUGCAAUGAAUCUUCGCAUUAACAAAUCAAUAUGAAAUAAGAGGGAAUAUCUUUAGAAAUUGGGGUAGUAUUUUUUUUUUUAGCUUAAAAUCCAUAAUAAGUUCUAGAGAAAAAGAUUUUUUUUUUAAUUUUUAUUAAUAAAAACCAAGCUCAUUAUUUCUUUUAGGGAGAUUGCCAAUUUCCCCCCUACAGUAAUCAACAUAUACCAUUUCCUCCUGCUGUUUUUAUAAUGGCCAAAAACCCCCCUAAUAGCAUAAGUUUGCAAAAAUGGCCAAAAAUUCCUCUGAUAGUAUAAGUUUACAAUAUUACCCUUAUUUUCAACUACUCUUUUAUUUACAUUUAUUAUAAAUUAAAUAAAUCACAUGAUAGAAAUUAAAUAAAAAAUUAAGCAUUAAAAAUAAGGAAAUAUAUGUUUUGAUAUGAGAAAAAAAUUAAUAAUAAAAAUUUUUUCUUGUACUUAUUUAUUUUGUGCAUAUUUUUCUUAUAAUAAAUAUAUAAGAAAGUUAUUAUAAAAUGAUAAAAAAAUUAUUAUAAGAAAAUUUGAAUGACAAAUAAAAAUUUAUUAUAAGAUAAAUAAUCAAAUAUUUUGCCUAUACUUUUUACAUUUAAUUUUAAAAUAUUACAAAAUGUUUAUUAUAAGAAAAUGUUCACAAAAUAAAUUAUUACAAAAAAAAUUAUUAUUAAUUUUUUUGCUCAUAUCAAAACAUAUAUUUCUUGUUUUUAAUACUUAAUUUUUUUAUUUAAUUUCUAUUCAUGUAAUUUAUUUAAUUUAUAAUAAAUGUAAAUAAAAAAGUAAUUAAAAAUAAGGGUAAUAUUGUAAACUUAUGUUGUCAGGGGAGUUUUAUGCCAUUAUAAAAACAGAAGGGGGACAAAUGAUAUAUAUUAAUUACUGUAGGGGGAAAGUGAGAAUCCCCUUUCUUUUACUACUGACUGUAGGACCAUGAUUUAUAAAACGCACUUUAUUGUUGUUAAUAUAAUAAACAAAACAUCCAAAGAGAAACAUCCCACAAGAAAAUCAAGAAAAGAUCAUAAGCAAACAGUACAUCAAGCAAAGCAAACAUUUUUUUUAUUUGAUUAAUUACAACUAAGCUUUGGUAGUCGCUUCGUCAAACUUUGGCAAAUAUUGUUUUAAAAUUUUACAUGUUGGAUAUAUAAAUGUUCGAGUGGCCUUUAUUAAAAUAGCAUAAAUUAACAUAAUAAUAUAAAUGAAAAUUAGAUUUGCUAAAUUAUCAUUAUUUCGUCAAUGUACAAUCUCUCUCUCUAUAUAUAUAGACACACACAUAAAUACGAUGAAAUUGAAAUUAUUUUAAUCGUGUACAAGAGCAAUCUCAUUAAUUUGCUGGUAGAGCUUGGUCCGUUGGCGUUCUUUCUAUAAUUGUAUAGGUCCGCUUUAUAAUAACAAUGAUGUUAACAAAUACCAAAGCAAAUUAAAUUUGAUUAAUUAAUAGUAAACCGACCAUGAUUUACUAAAAGCACUUUACUACACGAUCUUUGUAUGUGUACACCAUCAUCAAAAAAUAGAAAAUCAAAGGAGAAAACAAUAUCCCGCGAGAAAGCCAAUUAAUUAAAAAUUCAAAACUGUACCCAAAAGAAAAUAGAAGAUGACAAGCAGCUCUAACUAACGCGGGGGAUGCAUGCAUAUUAAUAUUUCAAAACAGAACUAUCUUACAUCAUUUAGUGAUUAGUGAUGCAGAUGUUUGAUAGAAUGAAUCAGGUUUCUGCUGAAAUGUCUCAAGGAAGGACCCUCAAGUAUUCAUCAUCUCAGCAAGUGACUCAGCACAUGAGAAUGAGAUGAACUUUCAAGAAUCACCACGAUAAAAUAAGAUCAAGGAUGCUACGAGGACAAACAAAGAUGGCGGCUGUAGCUUUUGAUGGUACGCAUGUUACAGCGCUAUAUUAAACAAAUGUAAACUGUCAGAUAAAAGUUUUGUAUAUAUAGAUUCAAAAUGAAUGAAACAUUGCUGUGAUGUGCGUGCAUUAUUCUGUCAUUUUGUUUUCAUUACAUCUUAUUGAUUCUUGAUCGAUUGAACUCAAUCUAAAACCACCAAGAUCUGGUUGAUCUCUCUAAUUGGUGAUAUAGAAAUGAUAAACAAAUCACACACCUCACAAGAAUAAGAAGGCACAAUUUAAGUGGCACAUUUUGGAGAUAGCAUAUAUCCGCUGAAGGACGGAGUAAUAAUCUUAUUUCAAUCACCAAGAACAAGCUACAAACAUUAAGAAGUUAGGAGCUUUUCAUAUGGCCCAACUAUAGCCUCUAAGACCAUAUAUACAGAUGAUGAAGAAUCUAGAAACGUCCCCCACUCACCAGCUGCCUUCUGGGUUUGUUGAAACAAACCCAGAAUUUUCCCACCUUAUAACGGUCAGUUAACAACCUUGAAUCACGUGCUUAACUCGUGCUUCACUAAGUGACCAAAACAACUGCCAAUUCCGUCUAAAGUAUGUCAAAUCACAUGAAGAACAUGUGAUUCACUUACUGGAAGUAAAAGACAAUACACAGAUGUCACAUUCUCCUGUUUCAUCCAGAAACUGACAGGGCAUGCACAAUUAAGGAUACAAACCGACAUGUCAGAAAAUUCUAAAACUCAUUUUUAAGCUCACAAUUCAACACAUCUCUUUUAAGAUCCUUUUGAAUAAUUUUCAGUUUUCUGACAAAUGCAACAUAAUAUGGUCAUGUCCUACUUAAUAACACAAAGCAUAAAUGCAGCUCUUAUAUUUUUCAUAAGCCAAAGUUGUUGAACAUAUAAAUACUCAUGUAUUCAGUGUUCUUUAUUAAAUUAGCAUGAUUGAACAUAAUUAAAAUGAAAAUCGGAUAAUUAUGAUGAUUGUAUUAGUUAGCCAGAUUGGUGUCAUUUUGUCUAAUUAUCAAGGAGAACAUUCAAUUAUAUAUAAUAUUUCCUUUGCAUUUUCUCUUUUAAUUAAAAUCAUAAAAAGACUUGCAAUAUAGACCAUGUAUCUAUUAUGGUCUUAAUCUGAAUCAACCUGGAAAGAAGAAUUUGGCUUCCGUAAAUAAGAAUUUCUUAAAACAAAAAAGCUAACAGAUAACCAAUCAGAAUGAACCUUGAAACCCGUCUUAUGGCUUAAAUCAGACAAAAUAGAAAUCUCCUCUUGCAAUAGCAUAUUUGAGUCAAGUAGCCGCAAUAAUGAAAAGCAAUCACCGAAUGUGAAGGAAGAACAUUUCCGGCUGGGAGGCUGGAGAGCUCACAGUCAUCGGAUAUAUCCAAGAGAAGACGAGAUCCAACUUCUCUUGUUAGUAUUAUUAAUUAAUUAGUAUAAAUUAGCUGAAUGUUCAAUGCUCAUGCACUUUUGGGUGAAUUUGUGUGAUUGUUGUGGCGUAAUAUGACACUAUUCAAUCAAGCCACUCUGCUUUUCAGUGAUAGACACAAAUGAGAUUAGUGCAAAUGAUAUAAUUGAAAUACCAAGAUUAUAUUCCCAUCAUAAUUAACAACUAAUUUUCAGUUUCUUGUGUCAAUUUCUUAUUCAAUAUAUAUAAUGUUAAUUUUACUGUAUUUUGCACCUUUGUGAUAUUUUAUUAAACCAACAACAACGCAAGAAAAUUUGACAAAAGUACUGCCAAGAUUCUCAUCAUCUGAAUUUUAGAUACCAAACAUCAUAUGUAAAUCAACAAUCCCAAACUAACUAAAAGGAUACCCAUUAGAUAGAAAUUCACAAAAACCGAUUAUAUCUUCUCCUCAGCAGCUGAAUCCUUCUAAGUGCUCAACGAUGACACAAUGCACAAUUCGAUGGGUGGUUGCAUGAUCGGGAAGUCUUGCUUUGUACUUUUUUCAUCAGUCUUUGUCAAAGAUCGUUUUGUAAUUAAUUUCAUAAGCUGAGUGUAUAUAAAUGCUAGAGUGUUCUUCAUUUAAAUAGCAUGAUUGAAUACAAUUAAUAUAAUGGAAAUCAAAUUAUAAUCAUCGAAUUUUUUAGAUUAGCAUUAUUUCAUCUUUGUAUAAUCUAACUUGAGACAAUCAAUAUUUAUACUGAUUUCGUCCCUUUGAUCGUGACUUUGAUGGUUACUUUUAAAAAUUCUCUUCACCUACCGAUUUCAUUUAACAAAAAUUUUACAUACAAUACAACUUUACAAAGAAUUAAAUAAAACCAAACGAAAUAUCAAGGCUGUUCACGAAUUGCCUUCCUAUGGUUCCACAGCCAAGCAAGUCCUUAUAUACAACUAAAAGUCAAUUUGAUUCUUUGACUAAUAAGAACUGCCAGUUUGAACUAAGGGCCAGUGAGCUUAGGAUUAUUGCUAAAACAUGAGUUCUAUGUUCUAUCAUGCAUUUUCUAUACUAUGAAUUGUUUGAGCUUAUAAACUAAGACAUCAAAACAAAGAUUCUGUUCUAGCUACUGUUUUUCACUUUAGAUUUAGGAUUGAUGUUCAGCUUUAUCUUUUAGGGCCUGUGACAUCCCAAUACACACACACACAUAUUGUAUAUGACCAAGCUACUUAGUGGGGAUGGCCAUAAAAUAGACGUAAAAAUGGAUGGCCAUCUGAUUCCCCAUGAGUACAGAAAAAUUAAAUAUGAAACUCCAAUACCGUCAAUUCUGCGUUUUAAUUUUAAGUUGACGUAUAAUGAAACGACAGGCUCAUGUGAUUUAAUUUUGUAUAUUCAAAACUAUUAAUGGCGGUGAGGCCUGGUUUUAUUUACACUUUGGUGGAAUAAAGUGAAGCUUGCUAAAUUACUGGUGAUUGGAUUUUUUUUUUAUUUUUUUUUUGCACUUUAGAGUGAUUUCAAUUGUGUCUAUUUGUUAGACAACAUAUUACAUGAAUAAAGUAAAAUAUUUCUAAAAAGAAACGUUUUUGGAGUUUAAAAAGAAAGAGUGAGAGAGAAACGUUUUGAUUUAACUUGGUAUUUGAGAUGAAGAUCUGUAAAGUGAAGGUUCUAGGUAAUAGACACUGGAUUAACUGCUUGACAUACGAAUACCUAAUGGAAUUUCGUAACAAGUGGUGGUGAUUGAUUGGUGAAUUGCUAAAUUAUUAAUGGGUGGUGGGCUCUGUUUUUCUUUUCUUAGCUGCAAGGAACAACAAGUGGGGAGACUUGCCUCAUUUUACGUCGUAUCUUGCUUGACCCUUGACACUUACUAAGCAUUUUCGUUUGGGUAAUUUUUUAAAACCUCUCCUGAGGUUUGGGCUUAUUGUAAGUAGAUGGCGAGAAUCUAUUUAUUUGUAAAAAAACCCCUACCGUUAGUUAUUUUUAACAUUAACCGUUAAUUGACUGUGCAAAGACAAUAUUACCCUUAACAACAGUUUGUAGACGGAAUUAACAAAAAAAAAAAACUAAAAUUGUUGGCUAUUUUACCCUCUUUAAAUUAUUGAUAUUUUCUUAAAGUUCCUACAAGAAAGAUAAAAUUAAAAACUUAAAAAAUCCUCUUUAAAUUAUUGAUAUUUCCUUAAAGUUCCUACAAGAAAGAUAAAAUUAAAAACUUAAAAAAUCCUCUUUAAAUUAUUGAUAUUUCCUUAAAGUUCCUACAAGAAAGAUAAAAUUAAAAACUUAAAAAAUCCUCUUUAAAUUAUUGAUAUUUCCUUAAAGUUCCUACAAGAAAGAUAAAAUUAAAAACUUGAAAAUAAAAUAGUCAUAAUCUUUACCUGUGAUAUUGUAAAUUUUUGGAAGGGUAAUUUUCAAAAACCUCCCCUGAGGUUUGGGCUUGUUGUAAGUAGAUGGCGACAAUCUGUUUCGUUUUGCUUACCAAGUGCUGGUGAUGGGUUAAUUGCCAAAUUAUUAGUCAUUGGUCACUGAAGUAUCAGCGCGUGAUUUCUACUAAGCUUGCUGGACCAGACCCGUCACAGUCGCAAAUUCAUUCUGCUUAAUUAUCCAUUUUCUCAUCUGUUCAAUUUUCUCAUUCUGCUUUCCAAAACUCAUAAUUCUGUUCCUUUCUUUCUUUGCCCCCAAAAAAAUUAAAAAAAAAAUAAAAUAAAUGUCAGGUUAAUUUUUCUUUUCAAAGAUUUCAGGUAAAAAAGAUUCUUAAAAUUAAUUUUCGAUGGUGGUUGUUGUUACUUUCAUUUUGUGCUGGAUGCGCCUAUAAAGAAGCCAACCGAUAUUGCCAAUUUGUGUAUUUGAUGACAUUCAACAAGCUUUUACUGCCUCUUCAGCAAUGUCAAUAACCGAAACAAAGUUAAAUCAAACUUUGAAUUAAAAUCUUUAAUAUAUAUAUAUAUAUAUAUAUAUAUAUAUCUUUUUUUUGUACAUUGAUUGAACUUCAUUCUUCAUUGAAAAUUAUGACAUGUUAAUUUAAUGAAUUAAUCACCACAAUUAGUAAAUAUUAAUACUUCAAGUUAACUUAAUGAAUAAGUCUUACAAAUACAUCUUACAUAAAUUAUAAAUACUAAGCGUAACUUCUCCUUAAUACCGCCCAAUAAUCUGAUGCUAGUGAUCUUUUUAUAAAUCAUUACUGAUAUAUUUAAUUAUUUACAAUUAAAGUAUUAUUGGGACCAAUUUACCAAAAAAAAAAAAUACAAUCAAAGAAUUACAACUUUUCUAUUUAUUUCACUGUUACUUAAUUCCAUAAAAUGGUUCAAAAUAAUUCCAAAACUCAUAAUUAUGUUCCUUUCUUCCCCCCCCCCCCCCCCNNNNNNNNNNNNNNNNNNNNNNNNNNNNNNNNNNNNNNNNNNNNNNNNNNNNNNNNNNNNNNNNNNNNNNNNNNNNNNNNNNNNNNNNNNNNNNNNNNNNNNNNNNNNNNNNNNNNNNNNNNNNNNNNNNNNNNNNNNNNNNNNNNNNNNNNNNNNNNNNNNNNNNNNNNNNNNNNNNNNNNNNNNNNNNNCUGCUGUACGGCCAAGGCGGAUGUACGGUACAGCAGCCUGUUAAUCAUUACUCCGAUCCCGAAGGCCAACAGAAUAGGACCGAAAUCCUAUGAUGUUAUCCCAUGCUAAUGUAUACAGAGCGUAGUGUUACGGUCCGCCCAAUUCGCUAGCCCAAUUGCCCAUAAUUUCGGGCUAGAGAGCCAACACAAGGCCAAGAGUGCUAGCUUGGCCCAAUUCCGGAACAUUCUAGGCAACUCUAGCACAUGAGCUUGUAAAUACUCUAGAAUUCUCCAUAGAAUUCCAGCACAUGUAAAUAGCUAGGAAAUGGUAGAAUUCUCUAGAAUCUCUAGAACUUGGCAAGCCUCCCCUAUAAAUAUGGGAUGGCAUUAGGCAUUUGUAUCCAACAAACACAACAACAAGCUUUGUAAGCAACUCAAGCAUUGUAAUCUCUCUUUGUGCAAUACAAGUUUUCUCAUUCGGCUCCAUUGCUCUCUUCUCUAGUUCGAGAAGCUAUAGGCUUACUUAGCAACAUUCGGCAAAGUUGUCUAAGUGCCGCACGGGUUAGCUGCGCAAGAUACUCAUCCCGUGACAACUAGCUUAUUAAACAGAGGUUGAGAGCAGCUCUAACGAAUGCAGGGGAUGCAUGCAUAUUAAUAUUUCUCAUCAAAUCAUCACCCAUUGUGCUUUGAGACUAAGAAAAUCUAUGGUGAUUGAUUUUUCAAAACAGAACUAUCUUACAUCAUUUAAUGAUUAGUGAUGCAAAUGUUUGAUAGAAUGAAUCAAGGGACUCAACACGAGAGAAUGAGAAGAGCUCUCAAGAACCACCAGGAUAACAUAAGAUCAAGGAUGCCACGAGGACAAUCAAAGAUGGCUACUGUAGCUUUUGCAGUACAUCUGUUAUAGCCGUUAGAUGAAACAAACAUAAACCAUCUGAUACAAGUUUUGUAUAUAUAGAUUCAAAAUGAAUGAAACAUUGCUAUGGUGUGCGUGCAUUAGUCUCUUAUAUUGUUUUCAUUGCAUCUUGUUGAUUCUUGAGCGAUUAAACUCAUUCUAAAACCAGCAAGAUCUCACUAAACUCUCUAAUUGAUGAUUUACAAAUGACAAGCAAAUCACACACCUCACAAGAAUAACAACUGAAACAAGCAAAACAGAGGCACAAUUUAAGUGGUUCCGCUUGGAGAUAGCCGAUAUCAAGUGAAGAACAGGGCAGCAAUCUUAUCUCCAUCACCGAGAUCAAACUACAAGCAUUAAGAAGAAGUUACAAGCUUUUCAUAUGUCUCAACUGUAGCCUCUAAGACUAUAUAUACAGAUCAUGAAGAAUCUAGAAAGUUCCCCCCACUCACAAGCUGCAACAAACCCAGAAUUUUCCCGCCUUGUAAAGGUCAAUGAACAACCUUGAAUGACGUUCUUAAUUGGUGCUUCAAUAAGUGACAAAAACGACUGCCAAAUGUGCCGUAUAGGGUAAAUGAAAUCACGUGAAGAACAUGUGAUCCAGACGACAAUACACAGCUGUCAUAUUCUUGUGUUCUGUCCAAUAACUGACAGCGCAUGCACAAUCAGGGCUAUCAACCGACACGUCAGCAAUGUCUAAAACUCGCGAUUCAACACCUGUUUUCAGAUUUUUUUUCAAUAAUUUUCAGUUUUCUGACAAAUGCAAAGUAUGAAAGUAAUAUGAUCAUGUCCUGCUUAAUAACACAAAGCAUAAAUGCAGCUCUAAUACUUUUCUAACUUAGCCAAAGUUGUUGAAGAUAUAAGUACUUUUAAGUGCUCAGUAAUCUUUAUUAAAUUAGCAUGAUUGGACAUAAUUAAAAAAUGAAAAUUGAAUCAUUAUGAUGAUUGAAUUAGGUAGUUUGAUUGGUGUUAUUUUGUCUAAUUAUCAAGGAGAACAUUCAAUUAUAUACAAUAUGUCCUUCCUAUUUUCUCUUUUAAUUAAAUCAUAAAAAGACUUGCAAUAUUGAUUAUGUAUCUGUUAUGUUGGUUAUUGAAGUGAAUUAUAGUUGUUUUCGUGAUUGUCAAAUAUUGUCUUUGUAACUUAUUUAUUUUUUAUUUAUGAAAUCAAUGGGGAUUUUGCUCUUAUUGAUGGAUGUUGCUGGGUACUAAGAACUGAUGGUCGUAUUAAUUAAUCAGUAUAAGUUAGUUGAAAGUUCAAUGUUCAUGCACUUUUGAGCUACAUAAGGCAAGGAAAAUUGAGUGACUUUAUGUGAUGUAAUGUGACACUAUUCAAUUAAGCAACUCUACUUUUUAGUGAUGGACACAAAUGAAACUAGUGGACUUGCAUUAGCUAGAUGAUAAUUAAAAGGCCAAGAUUAUAUCUUUAACACCCCAGUCCGAAAUCCAAGGGCAAAUAUGUCCACAACUCACAUAUGAUUUAAAUAACUCUUUACAAACAAUAAAAUCCGAGCUUCAAAUACAAAAGCCAGCGGAAUAACUUAAAAAUUUAGCCAAACCAUCUACCAUCUUUAACUUGUCACUCAUCACGAAUCAAUCCUGGCUUCUGGAAACUGAAUCACAAUAAACUAUAAUGAGUACAAAACUCAGUAAGCAAACUAGUUUUUCUUAUAGAAAAUACAUACAUACUUAUACAUAAUGCAAUGGAUGAUAUGCCAUGAUCUUUUGGAAAUACUGUAAAAUAAAUUCAAAAAAAUCUCUUUCUGUCACUUUCAAACUUUCUCAUUUUCUUUCGAUGAAAUAUGUAUCCUGCAAUGUGGCACUUUGUGCUGUGCGUGGCACUUUGCACCAUGCGUGGCACUUUGCGGCGCUCUGGCCCUCAAGAGGUGGCCCCCGCAUAGUCUCAAGAGGUGGCCCCCACACAACUUCAAGAGGUGGCCCCCAAUGCAAAAUCUCAUAAAACAGAAAUUCCGUUUGCUAAAAUCCACUUUCUCAUUCAUAGAAAACUCAAUGCAUUUUCGUGCUCAUGCCAAUGAACCAUCACACAUACAUAUGCCCAUGUACAUAAUCACGCCCAUUACAUAACAACACAUCACAUAAACACAUGAGCAGAGACAUAUAAAUCCAUAUUCGUACAUAUCAAAAUAGGACAUCCGCCUUGGCCGUACAGCAGAGCUCUCACCAAGAAACACCUCUUUUCUGACAAAUGCAACGUAAUAUGAUCACGUCCUGCUUAAUAACACAAAGCAUAGAGGCUGCUCUAAUACUUUUCUAACUUAGCCAAAGUUGUUGAAGAUAUAAGUACUUUUAAGUGCUCAGUAAUCUUUAUUAAAUUAGCAUGAUUGGACAUAAUUAAAAAAUGAAAAUUGAAUCAUUAUGAUGAUUGAAUUAGGUAGUUUGAUUGGUGUUAUUUUGUCUAAUUAUCAAGGAGAACAUUCAAUUAUAUACAAUAUGUCCUUCCUAUUUUCUCUUUUAAUUAAAUCAUAAAAAGACUUGCAAUAUUGAUUAUGUAUCUGUUAUGUUGGUUAUUGAAGUGAAUUAUAGUUGUUUUCGUGAUUGUCAAAUAUUGUCUUUGUAACUUAUUUAUUUUUUAUUUAUGAAAUCAAUGGGGAUUUUGCUCUUAUUGAUGGAUGUUGCUGGGUACUAAGAACUGAUGGUCGUAUUAAUUAAUCAGUAUAAGUUAGUUGAAAGUUCAAUGUUCAUGCACUUUUGAGCUACAUAAGGCAAGGAAAAUUGAGUGACUUUAUGUGAUGUAAUGUGACACUAUUCAAUUAAGCAACUCUACUUUUUAGUGAUGGACACAAAUGAAACUAGUGGACUUGCAUUAGCUAGAUGAUAAUUAAAAGGCCAAGAUUAUAUCUUUAACACCCCAGUCCGAAAUCCAAGGGCAAAUAUGUCCACAACUCACAUAUGAUUUAAAUAACUCUUUACAAACAAUAAAAUCCGAGCUUCAAAUACAAAAGCCAGCGGAAUAACUUAAAAAUUUAGCCAAACCAUCUACCAUCUUUAACUUGUCACUCAUCACGAAUCAAUCCUGGAUCUACUAUCCUCAAUUUAAAUCCAUCUUCUCACUCAUCGCGAAUCAAUCCUGACUUCUGGAAACUGAAUCACAAUAAACUAUAACGAGUACAAAACCCAGUAAGCAAACUAGUUUUUUUUAUACCAAAAUACAUCCAUACUUAUACAUAAUGCAAUGGAUGAUAUGCCAUGAUCUUUUGGAAAUAUUGUAAAAUAAAUUCAUAAAAAUCUAUUUCUGUCGCUUUCAAACUUUCUCAUUUUCUUUCGAUGAAAUACAUAUCCUGCAAUGUGGCACUUUGUGCUGUACGUGGUACUAUGCACCAUGCGUGGCACUUUGCUGCGCUCUGGCCCUCAAGAGGUGGCCCCCGCAUAGUCUCAAGAGGUGGCCCCCACACAACUUCAAGAGGUGGCCCCCAAUGCAAAAUCUCAUAAAACAGAAAUUCCGUUUGCUAAAAUCCACUUUCUCAUUCAUAGAAAACUCAAUGCAUUUUCGUGCUCAUGCCAAUGAACCAUCACACAUACAUAUGCCCAUGUACAUAAUCACGCCCAUUACAUAACAACACAUCACAUAAACACAUGAGCAGAGACAUAUAAAUCCAUAUUCGUACAUAUCAAAAUAGGCUUUUCAUACAAGUCAGACAUAUAUAUUAUUUAUUGUGAUUCGUUUUAAAGUCUAGUUCACUUACCUCUUGGCAUCCUCAUGUAACAAGUGCGUACUGAUACCAUCAACCUAAAAUCAUCAAUAAAUUCUCAUAAGAUAUAAUCAAAUCUCAAUCAUAAACUCUAAUGUCCUCAAAUAUCUCAAUUUAAACAACUCUUAAGCUCAACCUCAAAUGUCCUCAAUAAUCGGUCCUCAAAACAUAACAGUCCAUACUUCUCCGAUUUUUAAUAAAUUAUUCUCUUAUUGGAAGAAUCUCAAAUUUUACAGACCAUAUGCUGACACAUUGAAAGUUCAUUGCUAAAAAUUUCAUAACAUAAUUCCUUCCAAAACGAUUGAAAAUAAUUCACGGUUCAGACAUCAUCAAUACUGUCAAACAGUUUUCUGUUUUGAACACACUUGCUUUAAAAAUACAAAAAAAUUUAUUUAUUUAUCAUAAAAUCAUGAAAAUUUCCAGAAUCAUACUAGACAUAUAUAAAAAUCAUUGGUCCAAAUUUCAUAAUUUUUGAAGAAGUCUAGAUAUGGUAGAAAUAAUUUCGUAAUUCACGUUAUUCACUGAAAUCAUAAAUUUCCAGGUUUUCAGACUUGAAUUUGAAAAAUCAUAAUUAAUUGAAAUCUUAUCCGAUUAACUUGAAACAAGUUUCAAAACAUUCUAGACGAUGUCUAUUUUAACAUAUCCAAAAAUCACAAUCAAAAUCAAUUUAUACAAAGUAAUAUGAUUUUCGUAAUAAUUCACUGUCAGCAUAUUUCUGUAAAAUCGUAGGUUUCUACUUCUAUUGCAAUCAUGCUUCUCCACAACAAUUUAAUGAAAACCAAGAUUAAAACUUACCUCCAAAACUUCUCCCAACAAUAACAAUUUGAUCUCAUGUGUUGCCUAUGGCAGAACUAAGAAGAAGAAGAAGAAGACUUUCUUCUUCUCUUUUUCUUUUCUUUUUCUCUCUCUCUCUCUCUUUUUCAACCGAUCCCUCUUUUCCUCUUUCUCUUAUAAUGAAAAAGACAUCUUGUUCUAUUUAUACUAGGGUAAAAAUGAUCACUAAAAAUUAAAAAGACUUAAAUACCCUUAGGAGAUUUGGGGUAUUACAAUAUCCCCAUCAUAAAUAACAACUAACAAUCCAACAUGAUCCAGCAUCAAUUAAUUUUCAGUUUCUUGUAUUAUCUUCUUUUUCAAUACAUAAAAUGGCAACUUCAGGAGCUUAACGCUAAUUUCACUGUUUUGGGUACCUUUUUUAUAUUUCAUUAAACCAAAGAAGUGGGAGUUCAAUUAAAGGAGAUUUUGAAUGAUUUAUUUAAUUAUAAAUUGUUCGUAUUAUGUUUAAGUGAAAAACAGGGGAACUCCUUCAGUUGGCCUGACUUCCCAAUUGAAGUCAACUCUCUGCAUUAUAGUAAAAAGACAGAGGCUGCUCUGCCUUCCCAACCUAGUUCAUCUCUUGAGGAAUUUCGCUUGAUAGAUUAUUUUAAAUUAUUUAAAUUAUUUUUAGUCAAACUCAAGACAACAGACUUCUUUCAUGUCAUCACUACUAAUAUUUUUAUUUCUUAACACAAUUUAUCAGUUAUUGUUAUGAUGAGUAUAUAUCUUCUACACACGUAUCACAUUUUAUAUUUGUUUUUCUGCUGUUGUUUAUUUGUGUAGAACCUCCUUUGGUGGAGAAGUGAAAAAUUAAAGCCAAAGAAAUUAGAACCAUAGAAUCUGUGUGUACAAAUUUGUUAAUAUAUGCUUUUAAAUAAUGAAUUAUUCUUUAUGUUGAGGAAGAACGUUUUAUUAUGGUUUAAGGUUUAUAUGGGUGCGUGCGCACUAUGGUUAGAUGAGUUUCAAAAGUAUUAUUAUUCUGUUUACUUAUAUUGAAUUGUCCAUACUAAUAACUUGAACUGUGAGAUUUUUUGUAAUAAAAAUAUGCAUGUUCGAAAUAAAUUCUAGAGCGUGAAUCAUCUCACACUUAUUAAAAAUUAUAUAACUUUAAUUUUUUAUUUGAGAAAUUAUCAAGCGCACUCGUUCAACUUUCUGACUUUCUAUAUCUAUUUCUAUUCACUUCCUUUAAUAGCAAUAAGCCAAUGACUAUUAGGUGUAUCAUAAAAUUGAAUGCUUAUGUUAAAAUAUCUUUAUUCAAAAUGUUCCUGUAUAUGAAUCAUCUCUUAGUUUAGAUUUGAAUUCGAUUUAUCACAUCACAAUGUACCGCGUCUAUAAUCUUAUUUGCAAGUUCUUCGUGACUUCAUGACGAAAAUUACAAAAAUGUAUUAAGCAAUUAGCAAGUUGUUACAAAUGAAACCAAUAUCUUGAUGGGUUCAUUAAUUAAUAACAAUUUUUGCUAAUAACAACACCAAAAAAAAAAAAAUUUAUUCGAGGUGUACUCUAUCUGGUAUAUGACAUGAAUUUACGAAAAUGUACAUAGAAAUUUGAGAAUGUUGGAUAAUUGAGAGCUCGAAGACAGUACGCAAUUCACUUUCCCCUGUUUAUUGGCUCUCCUUAGGUUGUGUCUUCAUUAUUUGUCUAUUCUUCCAAAUGUUUUCUGAAAAAAAAAAAAAAUCAAACCAAUUGAAUCAUGACUAUUAUUGUGAUAUUAAAAUUUUUAAAAAAUAUUAUUUCAAAUUCAAAUAGUAUAUUUUGAAACAAACAUAUUAUUAUAUAAAUUAAUAAUUAAUAUGUUCUCAGCAUUGUUUGCUUCUUUUUUAAAUUAAUUUCAAUUUGGAUCUUAUCUUUGACUUUUGGAAUGCGAAAAGAUCUGCAGUAAAGAAAUUAUUCAGUGUCAAUAACACCUACUUCUUUUUUAAACUAUUUGUAUAGGAGAAUUAUCAUCUUUAGUAUGAAAAAAUAAAACCGUACAAUAAUCUUAUUACUGUUAAUAUAAAGCAGCUAACUAUUAAAUAAUCUUCUUAAAAUAAAUUAAUAUUCAAAUAAAACAUAAUAGAUACCAACUCAAGAUAAAUCAAUUCUAAAAACGUGAUCAUAUUUUUCCAUAAUAAUGAAUAUUUUCAUAAAUCAUUAGUUUAUUAAUUUGCUUAAUAAUUGAUAUUCGUUAAAUUCAAUAAAUUUUUUUAUGGUGCAAAAGCCUGUAAAUUUAUUGAGAUUUUAUUAUAUUUGUUACAGGAAACAAUACAAUUUAUAACAAUAUACUGUUGCAGUGGGACUAACAAAAUGUCUAGCAAUUCUCUUUUUAUAGAUAACAACCAUUUGAUUUGGAUGACAUUAACCAUGAAAAUGUUAAUAACACAUUAUUUAAAAAAAAAAAAAGCAGUUUUUCUAAUGAUUAAUCAAAGGAAAAUUCAAAGAAGAAAAAUAAAGGAAAAGAGCCAUAGGUGCUCCUGUUGGGAAUGACCAUUUGCAAUUUUUGCUAUCCUGCCACAGUUUGCUUAAGUCUAAUAUUUGAAUGAAUGUAUUUGUAAAUCCAUAUACUAGUCUGGUAAGGUGGUGGAUACUUAUUUUAUGUUCAUAAUUACAUUUGUCCACAAUUGAAAGAAAAAAAAAAUACAUGCUCCAGAUUUGCUGUCGAUAUUUCCAGAACUAGUCAAGCGUUGCAGAGAAGAAAGCAAAAAAUCACAAAACCAAUUAGAUGCAAUGGGUUCAGACGGUAGCCAAAAACACCACUUCGUUAUUCAUUUACAAAUCCCAACCGUUAGAUCAACGUAAUUAAAAUCUAACGGCUGAGCAGAAUAACGACAAAAAAGAGGGGUAUGGAGCUGGAUCCCGGAGUAAAGAAGAAGAAAAAUUAACUACUGUAUAUGAAUUUUUUUUUUAAGAACAAUACAUUUUGUGACAAUUUAAAUAUUAUUUUUGUUAAAAAGUUAGAUUGUGCAUCAACAUAAAAUAAGGUUGAAAUUAAUGAGUACUAAUAUGAAAGAAGUGAUAAAGUUAGUUUGUACAUACACAAUUAAAAUUUCGUAUGCGUUAUUUCGAGAGCGUCAGUGUAAUUCUUGACGUUAUUAUUAUCGAUCUUGUAUCUUGGUAGUAUUGUGUUGAUGGCCUGGCAGUAUUUGGAUGCUGAGUUGCUUACUUCGAAUGCCAGAGCUAAGUUAUAGUUCACGAAUUGCCAUCGUAUGGUUCAAUAGCCAAGCAAGUCUUCAAUUAUUUGUUGAUUUGAUGAGCUACUUAUAUGCAACUAUAAGUCAAUUUGAUUCUUUGACUAAUAAGAACUGCCAUUCUGAACUAAAGGCCGGUGAGCUGAGGAUUAUUGCUAAAAUAUGAGUUCUAUCAUGCAUUUUCUAUACUAUGAAUUGUUUGAGCUUAUAAACAAAGACAUCAAAACAUAGAUUUGGAAUUGAUGUUCAGCUUUAUCUUUUAGGGCCUGUGCCAUCCCAAUACCCACACACAAUAUAUAUAUAUAUAUGUGUGACCAAGCUACUUAGUGGGGAUGGCCAUAAAAUAGACGUAAAAGUGGAAGGCCACAAUUCCCCAUGAAUACAGCAAAAUUAAAUAAGGAAUUCCAAUACCAUCAAUUCUGCUUUUUAAUUUCAGGUUGGAAACUAGUGAAACUAGAGGCUCAGGUGAUUUAAUUCAGUAUAUAUUUAAUAAAGUAAAAAUAGAACCAGCAUGGUAGCUAGACACAGUUUAACUGGUGCUAUGAAAGCAGCAGUUUGUUUCUGCAGUUUUCUAAGUUUGAGUAAUAUUAAAAUUCAAAGUUAGUAUUCAAUGGGUAAGGUUUCUUAUCCCUAAAAUUCUGUUAAAAAAAAAAAACCAAAAACCAAUCCCACAGAAAGGAAUACAAAUUGCAGGACCAUUCAAAAGAUCCUAGAGCAAGAGGAAAUUUUGUAAUCAGCUUGGAGCAGUUUGCAAGGCAACUUCAAUAACAAAAAGAAAAUAAAAUAAAAGAAAGCACAACAGGCGGUAACAACGAAAUUAGCUUUUGUUCUUUGUUAAAGUGGAAUUUAUUUGAUAAUUAGACUCGUGCUUAUAUAAUAGAUAACAUGCUACAGUAGUAAUAGGAGACAGUGCUUCUUUUUUGUCUACAAAAAAAUCGCAACAUUCAUUUUUGAAAGAAAUAAAAAAUAUAUGUAUAAUGGUAAAUAUUUGCUCUGUUUUACUCUAUUUAUUUGCUCCGCAUUUUAACAUUUUAGCGAUUACUUUGUCAAAAUCGGAAGUUUGUAUUUCCUUCAAUUGCGUUGCAUUCAAUUACUUGAGCCUUCACAAACUAAAUCAAGCCAAAGUUGUUCCCUAAGCAAAUCUCUUCUAAAAAAUUUUCUAUUUUUCUAUUGAACUCUUUUACUAUACAAAUUCAUAAUUUCGUAAUUUGAAACUAAAUUUAUAUUAUAUGUAUUUAUAAAUUUUCCAGAUUAUGUUCUUAUUAUCGUUCUUGUAAUUGAUUUUGACAUAUCUCAUGUCUAAUAUUGUUUGUAUACAUAAUCAAAUCAUUUUUCAACAUUCUCUAAAGUCUUAGAUCAUAAUUAAUUCAACUUCUAUUUAAUAUAUAGUUACAAAAUGGUUAGUGAAGUGAUAAAAUAAACUCAAAGCAUUGCAUAUAUAUCUCUUUUAAUUGUCAAACUAUUUUCUUGCAAACAAUGCUAAAUUUUUAUAGCAUCAUUUUAUUGCCAAAUAUUUUUCAGUAACUAAAUAUUUCAUUAUUACAUGAUCAAUAUUUGUUCUCUAUCAAUUCUCAUUACACGCCACAUCGAUAUCAUUCCUUAUUAUUCUUUCUUUCUAUGUUAAACCAACUCAAAUCAAUUACAUCUUCUAUAUGAAAUUUUAUAAAAUUAUGAAAUGUUUUUAAUCUCAUAUUAUUAACGUAUAGAAUUCGUAUAGCAUUCGGUUUUGUAUAUAGAAGUCGUAUAGAAUUCGGUUUCAUAUUUAAGGCAAUUAGAUUUGUAUAUAUAUUAUGAAUCUGUAAUGCUUUUCUACUUAGGAUUCUAUUCUUUAGGGCUGUACAUCUAUAUAUAUAUGUAGCAACGUUAAUGCAAGAGUAAGAGAGUUUUAUUCAUAAACUCCGUUCUUUAUUUUACAUGGUAUCAGAGCUUUACUCACUUAUCAAAUUAUUAUCUUCGUUCUUUUGCUUUUGUUUAAAUACUCAUGGCAGCUGGUCAAUCAUCAAAACAGGCUGCCAUCCUUAAUAAACAAGAGGAUGAUGUCUUCCUUGUCCACCCAUCAGAUAGUCCAACUGCUGUAUUGGUUUCUCCUUUACUCACUGGUGAUAACUAUGGUACAUGGGUAAGGGCAAUGACUAUGGCUUUACGAGCGAAAAACAAGCUCGGUUUUGUUGAUGGAACUAUAUUAAAACCAGAUGAAGAUGAAGAUGAUGGUGGUAGAUGGCGGUAGAUGGCAACGUUGUAAUGAUCUUGUUGGAUCUUGGGUGUUGAACUCUAUAUCAAGUGAACUUGCGGGAAGUGUGUUGUAUGCACAGUCUGCUAGAGAAGUAUGGCAGGAUUUGCAAGAACGUUUUCAGCAGACCAAUGCGCCAAAAAUCUAUGAACUCAAACAGGCCAUCUCUAAUUUACGACAAGGAGAUGCAUCUGUUUCACUUUAUUAUACUCGCAUGAAGGCGCUUUGGGAUGAGUUGAAUUCUCUACAACAAAUAGGACCAUGUACUUGUGCGAAUGCAAAAACUGUCAGUCAAUUGCAGCAACUAGAUCGAGCUAUCGAAUUUCUUCAAGGCUUACAUGAUAGAUAUGCAACAACGAGGAGUUAGAUUUUGUUGAUGGAUCCUUUUCCUAAUGCAAAUAAAAUUUAUUCCCUGGUGAGGCAAGAAGAAAAACAACAAGAUCUUCACGCUAUAAAGGGAUCUCCAGAAGCUGCAGCAUUGACAACACAAAGCCGAAAUUCAUUUGGAAAUAGGAAUUGGAAUAACAAUUCUGCAGUAGAUAACAAAGGAGGAAACUUGAAUGCAAAUGGUGGCAGACCAUCGUGUGAACACUGUGGAAAAUUAGGCCACACAAAACAAAAAUGUUUUGAGUUAAAUGGAUAUCCACCAAAUUGGAGAAGACGUGGACAAGGUAAUAAAAAUGAGAUUAAAGCUGCCAUGGCGACAAAUAGCAAUCAAGACGUCCAAGCACCAAUAUUUACUCAAGAGCAAUAUCAAAAACUCCUAUCUAUGUUGUCCUCUUCAGGUAGUCUACAUACUGCGAAUCUUGCAGGUAUAGUGCUUAAUUCCUCUUUAUCAUAUACUUGGAUCAUAGAUACAGGCGCUACUAAUCAUAUGUGUAGUUCGCUAGAUUUUUUUCACUCCUAUGAACCAUGUCAUGUUCCUCUUCACGUUCAAUUACCAGAUGGUACAGUAGCACAAGUUACUCACAUAGGGAAAGUCUCAUUUUCACCAGAUUUUUUAUUAGACAAAGUAUUUUACAUUCCAAGUUUUAAGUUUAAUUUACUGUCUGUUAGUCAGUUAACUAAAUCAAAUAGAUAUAAGGUAAUUUUUUCUUCCAAUUUUUGUGAGUUUCAGGACCUAUACACGAAGAAGCAGAUUGGCAAGGGUAGACUUCGUGAAGGUCUUUUCUACAUCCAACUUCCAGCUGCAUUUUCUUUCACCUCCCAAAUCACCUCUACACAUGAGAUUGAUCUUUGGCAUUGGAGACUUGGCCACCCUUCUCUUGGACGUUUAGAGCAUUUUUCAAAAACUUGUCCUAUGGUUAGUUUUAAUAAAGAAUAUGUUUGUGAUAUUUGUCCUAAAGCAAAACAAACUAGAAAGCCAUUUUCCAUUAGUAGCAUCAAAAGUAAAAUACCUUUUGAAUUAAUCCAUUGUGAUGUUUGGGGUCCUUUUUCAACUUCAAGUUUUUCAGGGGGCUCAUUAUUUUUUAACCAUUGUUGAUGAUUAUACUCGAUGCACUUGGUUAUAUUUAAUGAAAACCAAAUCCGAAACCCAAUUGCAUUUAUGUUCUUUUCAUGCAUUGAUAAAAACUCAAUUUAAUGCUAACAUUAAAAUUGUGCGUUCUGACAAUGGGACUGAAUUUCUUGUUAAAGAAUUACAGAAAUUUUUUUUAGACCAAGGGAUUAUUCAUCAAAGAAGUUGCGUUCGAACACCGCAACAGAAUGGUGUGGUUGAGCGUAAACAUCGCCAUCUUCUCGAAGUUGCGCGAGGUCUACGUUUUCAAGCCAAUUUGCCAAUUAAAUUCUGGGGGGAGUGUGUUCUUACUGCAGCAUAUUUGAUCAAUAAAUUGCCUAGUGAUGUUCUUAAUGGAAAAACCGCACAUGAAAUGCUUUUUGGUAUAGCACCAAAUUUAUCACGCCUAAAAGUUUUUGGUUGCUUGUGUUUUGCCAAAAAUUUACAAGUUAAAAAUAAAUUUGAUCAGCGGGCGAAAAUGGGAAUUUUUAUUGGUUAUCCUUUUAGUAAAAAAGGAUAUCGAAUUUAUGAUAUUGAAUCUAAGGUAAUUUAUGUGUCACGUGAUGUUCUCUUUUAUGAACAUAUUUUUCCUUUUAAGGAUGUUAAAUCACCGAUUUUUUCUACACAUGUCACUAAUGAGUUUUUAUUUGAUGAAAAUUUUUUUAAGUCCAAUACUCUUUUAUCACCUUCUCCUAAUGAAAACAUAAGUUCAUCACAUACUCUUCAUGAAUGUGACCCACCUUUGCGAGACACAGAUCCAUCCGUGACCAAUUCUUCUUCUCCUGACACCACUCAUGAACACAUCAUAACUGAAACAUCAUCUACCCAACAGCCUGGUUCACCAGCAGAUGCAACCUUAGAUUCAUCACUUUCUUUAGGCAACCAAAAUAUCCAAACUCCCACACGACCCCAACGUGAUAGACGCCCACCAGCUUACCUUCAAUUAUUGUACCUUGGCUUCUCACAAUUCUACCCAUGCUGAUCUUGUUCUGCGUCCCCAGGUAAGAAAUAUCCUCUUCACAAUUUUAUUUCUUACCAUCGUUUUUCUCCAGCACAUAAGUCUUUUUUGUCUGCCAUUACCUCUACAACCGAACCAAGUUUUUUUCAUGAGGCAGUCAAGUUACCUGAGUGGCGCAAAGCCAUGGAGGAUGAGAUAACAGCUCUUGAGAAAAAUAAUACGUGGACUCUAACUCAUUUGCCGAAUGGUAAAAAGGCUAUUGGCAGCAGAUGGGUUUACAAAAUUAAAUAUCAAUCCGAUGGCACCAUUGAGCGUUACAAAGCUCGUUUAGUUGCUAAGGGAUAUACUCAAACAGAAGGCAUUGAUUAUCAUGCUACUUUUUCACCGGUUGCUAAGCUUGUCACUGUGAGAGCUUUACUUUCUCUUGCGGCUGUUAAGGGUUGGAUUUUAGAACAAUUAGAUGUAAGCAAUGCUUUUUUACAAGGAGAUUUAGAGGAAGAAGUUUAUAUGCAAGUACCACAAGGUUUUUCUAAGCAGGGGGAGCAUCUAGUCUGCAAACUCAACAAAUCUAUCUACGGAUUAAAACAAGCAUCCAGAAAUUGGUUUUCCAAGUUUUCUGCUACCAUUCAACAAGCUGGUUUUCGCCAAUCUAAAGUUGACUAUUCAUUAUUUGUAAAAACUAAUGCCAAAUUUUCAACCUUUGUGUUAGUUUACGUUGAUGAUAUUAUCGUAGCAGGGAAUGAUGUUGCCGAGGUUAGCAGAAUUAAAGAUUUUCUUGCACAGAAAUUUUACAUCAAGGCAUUAGGGAAGUUGAAGUAUUUUUUGGGGAUAAAAGUGGCACGGUCAUCAUGUGGGAUCUUCUUGAGUCAGCGAAAAUAUGCCCUGGAUAUUUUAAAGGAUGCUGGUUUACUUGCUGGACGAGUUUCUCAUUUUCCAAUGGAACAACAACUUCGGCUUUCAUCUACGGAUGGCGACCUUUUAUCAAAUCCCUCAAGUUAUCGACGUCUUGUAGGUCGGUUGAUCUAUCUCACAGUUACCAGGCCUGAUAUUGUCUUUGCAGUACAUGUUUUAAGUCGAUUUAUGCAUGAACCACGAACUACUCAUAUGGAUGCUGCCAUUCGAGUGCUUCGGUAUUUAAAAGGCUCACCAAGCAAGGGUAUCUUAUUAUCUUCAACAAGUGACUUACAUAUCCGAGGUUACUGUGAUGUGGAUUGGGGUAGUUGUCCUACUACACGUCGGUCUGUUACUGGUUAUUGUACUUUCCUUGGUGACAGCCCUAUAUCUUGGAAAACAAAGAAGCAAAAUGUGGUCUCUCGAUCUACAGCAGAAGCUGAGUAUCGCUCCUUGGCUGAUCUUUCAUGUGAAUUACAGUGGCUCAAAGCACUCUUUGCUGAUUUGGGGCACCUUCAACAUGAUCCUAUGACUGUUUAUUGUGAUAAUCAAUCAGCUUUAUAUAUCGCCGAGAAUCCUGUCUAUCAUGAGCGAACAAAGCACAUUGAGUUAGAUUGUCAUUUCGUGCGAGAGCGUGUGCAAUCCAAUUUGUUAUUACCACUGCAUAUUCCUACUUCCAUGCAAAUAGCUGAUGUGUUUACAAAACAUCUCCUUUGACUGGAAUAGGAAUUUGAAGGCUCAACCAAAUUGAUUUGAUUUAAAUUUUUGACUCAUGAAAGGUGGCAUGAUACAGAUUCAUGCACGUAGCUUUUGUAUGUCCAACUAAAAUCAUAACCAUGUGAUUAGAAUAAUAAUGCUAUCUUAUCAUAUAUAACUUAUGAAGUAGUCAUGCCAAAAAGCGGCUGUAAUACAUAAGCAUUUUUUAGUUGCAUAUGCAUGAUUGUGUAUCUGUCGGUUGCUAAGCUUGUCACUGUGAGAGCUUUACUUUCUCUUACGGCUGUUAAGGGUUGGGUUUUAGAACAAUUAGAUGUAAGCAAUGCUUUUUUACAAGGAGAUUUAGAGGAAGAAGUUUAUAUGCAAGUACCACAAGGUUUUUCUAAGCAGGGGGAGCAUCUAGUCUGCAAACUCAACAAAUCUAUCUACGGAUUAAAACAAGCAUCCAGAAAUUGGUUUUCCAAGUUUUCUGCUACCAUUCAACAAGCUGGUUUUCGCCAAUCUAAAGCUGACUAUUCAUUAUUUGUAAAAACUAAUGCCAAAUUUUCAACCUUUGUGUUAGUUUACGUUGAUGAUAUUAUCGUAGCAGGGAAUGAUGCAGCUGAGGUUAGCAGAAUUAAAGAUUUUCUUGCACAGAAAUUUUACAUCAAGGCAUUAGGGAAGUUGAAGUAUUUUUUGGGGAUAGAAGUGGCACGGUCAUCACGUGGGAUCUUCUUGAGUCAGCGAAAAUAUGCCCUGGAUAUUUUAAAGGAUGCUGGUUUACUUGCUGGACGAGUUUCUCAUUUUCCAAUGGAGCAACAACUUCGGCUUUCAUCUACGGAUGGCGACCUUUUAUCAAAUCCCUCAAGUUAUCGACGUCUUGUAGGUCGGUUGAUCUAUCUCACAGUUACCAGGCCUGAUAUUGUCUUUGCAGUACAUGUUUUAAGUCGAUUUAUGCAUGAACCACGAACUACUCAUAUGGAUGCUGCCAUUCGAGUGCUUCGGUAUUUAAAAGGCUCACCAUGGAACUAUCUGCUGUACGGCGAAGGCGGAUGUACGGUACAGCAGAUUUAAAUCAAACUUCUUCUUUAUAUCAGCAUAAAUGAAAGUAUUAGAUUAAGGUUGUGAAAGUAUAUCAAGUAUGCAAAUGUUGACACUAGGUAGUGGGAGGAGAGUUAGUGAAAUGGAAAGGGAUAAACUUUAGCCUAGAAAAAAGGUGGAUAUGCUUAAGUAAUCGGACUCAUUCUUUACCUUUGGAAAAAUCAUCUCCUUUGACUGGAAUAAGAAUUUGAAGGCUCAACAAAAUUGAUUUGAUUUAAAUUUUUGACUUAUGAAAGGUGGCAUGAUACAGAUUCAUGCACGUAGCUUUUGUAUGUCCAACUAAAAUCAUAACCAUGUGAUUAGAAUAAUAAUGCUAUCUUAUCAUAUAUAACUUAUGAAGUAGUCAUGCCAAAAAGCGGCUGUAAUAUAUAAGCAUUUUUUAGUUGCAUAUGCAUGAUUGUGUAUCUGUAAUUUGUUACUAUGACCUGCAGGAUUGAUGUAUUUCAAUUAUUUUGUGGAUUCCCAUAGAUUUGCUCCAUGGAGUAUGAAAAGUCUAUUGAAGAUUUUGUUUUUGUUAUUUAAUAUUUGUUGUUCUUUAAUUUGGGAUGCAGGAAGUGAGGCAGAGGAGGAAGGUGAUGCAACAGAAUAAUGCUUCAAAGUCUUGUAGAAAGCUUUCCCCUUUGAUUGACUUAGUAUUCAUUUUAUAGCUACCCAGUUGGUUACAAAGAUGAUCUUUUAAUGCCAAAGCCAACAAUUGUGUAAUGUUGUAGGUUGUAGCUUUAUCAAGCCUGUUAUUAGCAUAUUAGUAUGUGAAUCAUUUUUGUAUUCUUGGACAUGCAUCUCUUUGUUAAAAAUGUAUGCAGAUAUAUGUAUUCCUCUACCUUGUCAUAUGACUCAUAUCUAUCAGCGGCUCUUGAUUGUUUAUUUUCCAAGUAAUUAGCACUUUUGUUGUUGCUUGUAUAACUUUUUGCCGGCCAUUAUUUUUUUCAAUUUUUGUGUCAUGCUGCUUUCAUCAUGUAAAACUCGACUUGAUCAUGAUCGCAAAUUUUGAUAUUUAUUUUUAUGGUUCAUCAUCAAUAAGGUAUACAUUUGAAAAACGCAGUUAAAAAAAAAAUGUUACGAUAUCAAAAAUUCAGAAUUUGUUAUUUUUACAGAAGCUCUAUGAAGAAUUAUUAUAAUUAUUUACAUUUAUACUAAAAAAAUUGAUGUAAAUAUUCUAAAAUUUAAGGUUCUAUAUUUUAUAUUUUGCUAAGUACUAAUAAAUAUUAUUUCCAAACAUAUAAUUGAAAUUAACCACCAAAAAAUAAUGUAGUAUAGCAUAAUAUAGUGUAUGUAUAAUUAAAAAUUAAUAUAGUACAAUGGAGAACCAAACGUUGUAUAGUAUUAAUAUAAUACAGUGUUAAUGCAAUACAACAUAAUACAAUACACAUGUAUUAAAAUAAUGCAAUACAAUAUAAUACAAUAGUUAACCUUUUUGCGCAAAACAAUUUCAAGAACAAAUGCGAUGAACAUCCAAUACUUUGUGUAUUGGUCUAUAGUCUAAAUCCGUUGUCACGAAAGAAACAUUGUUGUGAUGUGUGUGCAUUAUUCUCUCAUUUUGAUUAUGUGUUAACUAAGAUUUUUUUUUUUCAAUAAUUUUCAGUUUUCUGUCAAAUGUAACAUAAUAUGAUCAUGUGUAACAUAAGAACACAAAGCAUGAAGGAAGCUCCAAUUUUUUUCAAACUUGGCCAAAGUUGUUGAAUAUCUAAAUCCUCAAGUGUUCUGUGUUUUUUUUAUUAAAUUAGCAUGAUUGGACACAAUAAAAUAAUGAAAAUCAAAUUAUUAUGAUGGUUGGAUUAGUUAGCUAGAUUAGUGUUAUUUUGUCUAAUCUGCUGUACCGUACAUCCGCCUUGGCCGUACAGCAGUAUAAAAGAAGUGAGAAAGUUUGUGCAUCACACAAUUAAAUUAGGCUAAAGUUUGUCUCAAUAAUAGUCUGAUUUGUAAAUAUCAGUUAUAGUCUCAUGUAAUAUGAGUUGUAGUUUAAGCAAUAGUCUCAUGUAAUAAAAAAAAAAGACUAAAAUUUAAAAAUAUUUAUAACAACCUACUUACACCCUACUGAUUUUGAGUUGGAACUAUUUUAAUUUGUUUUAACAUUUUUUUUAACUUCAACAAUUAAUAAAAGGUUAAUACAAGAGAAAGUGAUUCAUUUUGGUUGACUCCUCCUACAUUUGCUAAGCCAUUAACCAUAAUGAUGAAGAAUAUUAACAAAGUGAGUUUGAUUGAUACAAAAAUAUACUGUUUCUUUGAGUUAACAAAUAUGCAACAUGAUUCAGAAGUGGUCAAUGUGUUUCUCACCAUACAAUUAAAAAAGGAAUAGUGGAACUAAUUAAUUAAUUUUCAGCAACAAAAAAAAUUAAGAUUAACAUAUGAUAUGUCUGCAUUCAAGUUUAUAUAAUCUUAUUUUCAGUUACUUGGAACAUGAUGAAUUCUUGUUCUCUCUUAUUAAAUUGUACUCGCAUUUUUCUUUUAAAAGUAAAAAGUAUUCUCAAAAUUAAUUUUCCAUAUAUGGUGGAUGUUGUUACUUUUAGUUUGUGAUGGCCACGUAUAAAGAAACCAAACGAUAUUUGCUAAUUUGUGAGAUGGGAUACAAGCAUUUGAUGACAUUCGGAAAGCUUUUACAGCGUCAAUAUUCAGAAAAAAGUGAAAUCAAAUCAUAGAAAUUAAAAAUUUUUAAAAAUUAUCUUUUUUCUUUUUCUUUUUUCAUACAUUGAUUGAAUUUCAUUCUCAAAUGAAAAUUAUGACAAGUUAAAUAAAUUAAUCACUACAAUUAGUAAAUAUUAGAACCUCAAGUUAACUUAGUGAAUUAAUAACUUAAUAACACUACAUUUUCAUUGAAAUUAAUAAGUCUUACAAAUUCAUCUAACAUAAUCCGAUGCUAGUGACUCCUUUACAAAUGAUUACAUGUUUGCUUCGCUAGUUAAUUAAUAAAGUGAAAACAAAAGCAAAUAGAACCCCACACCAAUAAUUUUGCAAACAGCCAAACCCCAACGUCUCCUUUCAAAAAAGAGGGAAAAAAGAAAAAAAAUCAGAGAAUUACCACUUUUCUCUUUGUAUCAUUGUUAUUCGUGUUCAUACAGUGUUUCAAAAUAAAAGGAAAUCAUUCUGUACUGCUUUUGUAAAUAAGUGAAUUUGAAAAUAUUUGAAAAUUAGUCCCAUUUUCUGUUGAAAGAAAAAAUGCAUAGUAUCCAUUUUGUUAUUUUGUAAUUCUUUCAUUGAUCCUUGGUGUUAAUUCACCAAUGUUAAGUUCUUGAAACAUGAGCAUGCGAAGCUUGCUAAUUUAAUUAUUGAAACAUGAGCAUGCGAAGCUUGCUAAUUUAAUUAUUGUUGGCGGAUACUGUCUUUUAUUUUAAUUAGUGUAAUAUUUACGUUAUGUUAAUUAUGUUAUUAGUUUAUUAAAUAUAUACCUUUUAACAAACGAGUCGAUUUUGCAUUAUUUAAAAUUUCGACGCGAUGGGAAUAUGAAUAUAACAUUACAUUACAAAUUGGCAUUGUUUAUUGUAAAAAAAUGUCGUGCACAGCGCACUUAUAGUAAUAAGAAGAGAGAUUAAAAUCUUUUAAUUUAACUUACUUUUAUAAGUAGAAGAAUUGAUAAACUCUCUUCAAACUUUUGAAAUGAACCUGAAGAGACGGUCAGAGAAGAAUGAUUAAUUAACGCAGAAGAAUUAUAUUCAUGACAUUUAAGAUUAAAAAAAGGGUUCAUUGCUUUUGCGUUUUCUAUGAAGUAGUGCCUAAUUAAUCAUGUUAAGCUAAGGCAAAGAUUCUUGGUUCGGCUUUUAUUUAAUUUAGUAUGUAAAGCAAAUGCAUCAUCAUGAGCUCCAUUGAUUUUAUAUUUAUAGUGGGCUCUGAUUUUUCUUUUGCUUAAUGGGAAAUGGACAGUGAUACCCUAAAAAAAAAAUAAUGUUUUAAUAUUUUAAAAAAGAUAUAUAAUUCCUAUUUUUGUUAAUAAAUUCCAUUUGUUUUAAUAAUAAAUUUAUUUUUAAUUUAUAAUUAUUAUUAUAUUCCUAUAAUAAAUAAAUAAAUAUAUUGAUUUAAGACAUGUCAUCGAUGACAUGUAUAAUAAAACUAACAACUUUUUAUUUACAACUUAAAAUUAAGAUAUAAUUAUCUUUUGUCCAAAUUAUUCACUUUAAAUUAUGAAUAUAUCCUUACCAAUGAUAAAAAAUGAUGAAUAAUAGAUAAAAAUAAAAUCAAAUUUAUUUUCUUCGAAUGCCAAUUAGGAAAAAUGAGAUGUUAAACAUGGUUGUAAAUGAAUGAAAGCCAAUUGGACAAAUGGGAAGUAAAAUUGGAAGGCUCACUCUCUUAAGUUAAAUAUAUUAAUUUAUUUAUUAUAGGGACAUGAUAGUAAAUGUAAAUUAAAGAUUAAGUUACUACUAAAAUAAACAGAUUUUACUAAUAAAAAAGAGAUUAUAUAUCCUUCCCAAUGUUAACAUAUAUUUUUUUAAGAGAUUUUAAGCAAUGAUAAUAAUAAUAAUAAUAAUAAUAAUAAUAAUAAUAAUAAUAAUAAUAAUAAUAAUAAUAAUAAUAAUAAUAAUAAUAAUAAUAAUAAUAAUAAUAAUAAUAAUAAUAAUAAUAAUAAUAAUAAUAAUAAUAAUAAUAAUAAUAAUAAUAAUAAUAAUAAUAAUAAUAAUAAUAAUAAUAAUAAUAAUAAUAAUAAUAAUAAUAAUAAUAAUAAUAAUAAUAAUAAUAAUAAUAAUAAUAAUAAUAAUAAUAAUAAUAAUAAUAAUAAUAAUAAUAAUAAUAAUAAUAAUAAUAAUAAUAAUAAUAAUAAUAAUAAUAAUAAUAAUAAUAAUAAUAAUAAUAAUAAUAAUAAUAAUAAUAAUAAUAAUAAUAAUAAUAAUAAUAAUAAUAAUAAUAAUAAUAAUAAUAAUAAUAAUAAUAAUAAUAAUAAUAAUAAUAAUAAUAAUAAUAAUAAUAAUAAUAAUAAUAAUAAUAAUAAUAAUAAUAAUAAUAAUAAUAAUAAUAAUAAUAAUAAUAAUAAUAAUAAUAAUAAUAAUAAUAAUAAUAAUAAUAAUAAUAAUAAUAAUAAUAAUAAUAAUAAUAAUAAUAAUAAUAAUAAUAAUAAUAAUAAUAAUAAUAAUAAUAAUAAUAAUAAUAAUAAUAAUAAUAAUAAUAAUAAUAAUAAUAAUAAUAAUAAUAAUAAUAAUAAUAAUAAUAAUAAUAAUAAUAAUAAUAAUAAUAAUAAUAAUAAUAAUAAUAAUAAUAAUAAUAAUAAUAAUAAUAAUAAUAAUAAUAAUAAUAAUAAUAAUAAUAAUAAUAAUAAUAAUAAUAAUAAUAAUAAUAAUAAUAAUAAUAAUAAUAAUAAUAAUAAUAAUAAUAAUAAUAAUAAUAAUAAUAAUAAUAAUAAUAAUAAUAAUAAUAAUAAUAAUAAUAAUAAUAAUAAUAAUAAUAAUAAUAAUAAUAAUAAUAAUAAUAAUAAUAAUAAUAAUAAUAAUAAUAAUAAUAAUAAUAAUAAUAAUAAUAAUAAUAAUAAUAAUAAUAAUAAUAAUAAUAAUAAUAAUAAUAAUAAUAAUAAUAAUAAUAAUAAUAAUAAUAAUAAUAAUAAUAAUAAUAAUAAUAAUAAUAAUAAUAAUAAUAAUAAUAAUAAUAAUAAUAAUAAUAAUAAUAAUAAUAAUAAUAAUAAUAAUAAUAAUAAUAAUAAUAAUAAUAAUAAUAAUAAUAAUAAUAAUAAUAAUAAUAAUAAUAAUAAUAAUAAUAAUAAUAAUAAUAAUAAUAAUAAUAAUAAUAAUAAUAAUAAUAAUAAUAAUAAUAAUAAUAAUAAUAAUAAUAAUAAUAAUAAUAAUAAUAAUAAUAAUAAUAAUAAUAAUAAUAAUAAUAAUAAUAAUAAUAAUAAUAAUAAUAAUAAUAAUAAUAAUAAUAAUAAUAAUAAUAAUAAUAAUAAUAAUAAUAAUAAUAAUAAUAAUAAUAAUAAUAAUAAUAAUAAUAAUAAUAAUAAUAAUAAUAAUAAUAAUAAUAAUAAUAAUAAUAAUAAUAAUAAUAAUAAUAAUAAUAAUAAUAAUAAUAAUAAUAAUAAUAAUAAUAAUAAUAAUAAUAAUAAUAAUAAUAAUAAUAAUAAUAAUAAUAAUAAUAAUAAUAAUAAUAAUAAUAAUAAUAAUAAUAAUAAUAAUAAUAAUAAUAAUAAUAAUAAUAAUAAUAAUAAUAAUAAUAAUAAUAAUAAUAAUAAUAAUAAUAAUAAUAAUAAUAAUAAUAAUAAUAAUAAUAAUAAUAAUAAUAAUAAUAAUAAUAAUAAUAAUAAUAAUAAUAAUAAUAAUAAUAAUAAUAAUAAUAAUAAUAAUAAUAAUAAUAAUAAUAAUAAUAAUAAUAAUAAUAAUAAUAAUAAUAAUAAUAAUAAUAAUAAUAAUAAUAAUAAUAAUAAUAAUAAUAAUAAUAAUAAUAAUAAUAAUAAUAAUAAUAAUAAUAAUAAUAAUAAUAAUAAUAAUAAUAAUAAUAAUAAUAAUAAUAAUAAUAAUAAUAAUAAUAAUAAUAAUAAUAAUAAUAAUAAUAAUAAUAAUAAUAAUAAUAAUAAUAAUAAUAAUAAUAAUAAUAAUAAUAAUAAUAAUAAUAAUAAUAAUAAUAAUAAUAAUAAUAAUAAUAAUAAUAAUAAUAAUAAUAAUAAUAAUAAUAAUAAUAAUAAUAAUAAUAAUAAUAAUAAUAAUAAUAAUAAUAAUAAUAAUAAUAAUAAUAAUAAUAAUAAUAAUAAUAAUAAUAAUAAUAAUAAUAAUAAUAAUAAUAAUAAUAAUAAUAAUAAUAAUAAUAAUAAUAAUAAUAAUAAUAAUAAUAAUAAUAAUAAUAAUAAUAAUAAUAAUAAUAAUAAUAAUAAUAACUACAUGCAUUUUGCUCAAUUUUCUCAUUUUGCUCAAUUUUCUCAUUUUGCUUUAGAACUCAAAAUUCUGUUUCUUUCUGUACGGGAAAAAAAGAAAAAAAAAUGCCAAGCAUUUGUGGCUAAAGUGUGAGAUGAGAUACAAGCAUUUGAUGACAUUUAACAAGUUUUUUACUGCCUAUUUAGCAACGUCAAAAAGUAAAAGAGAGUGAAAUUAAAUCCUAAGAAUUAAAAUUAAUUUUUCUCCAAUAAAUUGAUUGGACCUCAUUCUUUAAUUACAAAUAAUGACAAGUUAAGUAAAUUUACUAGCACCACAAUUAGUGAACAUUAAUACCUCAAGUUAACUUAGGGUGCGUUUGGUACAUGUAUUGUAUUAUGUUGUAUUAUAUUAUUUUAAUACUGAUGUAUUAUAUUAUGCUGUAUUGCAUUAGCACUGUAUUAUAAUAAUACUGUACAAUGUUUGGUACUACAUUGUACUGUAUUAAUUUUUUGUGAUUAAUUUAAAUUAACAGAUUAUAUUAAUAUAUUUAAAUUAUAUUAAUAUUUUAUAUUAUUAUUUAUAUUAUUAUUAAUUUUAAAUUAAUAUUAUUCAAAUUUAUUCAUAUUUAAAUAUUUUUAUUAGUUAUAAUAAGUUAUAAAUUUAUUAAUAAAUUAUAAUGUAAAAAUAAAAAAAUAUACUAUUAUUGAAUGAUAAAUUAUUUAUUUAUUAAUUUAUAUUAAUAAUUAUAAUGCUGCUGUACCGUACAUNNNNNNNNNNNNNNNNNNNNNNNNNNNNNNNNNNNNNNNNNNNNNNNNNNNNNNNNNNNNNNUUUAUUAUUAUUUUAUUAAUAAGCAAAAGCAAAAGUUAAAGCAAACGAAAAUUAAAGCAAAAGCACGUGAAAAGUGAAAACGUUAAAAGGACAAAAAAAAAGAAAGUAAGCGGAGUUGCCGCAUUAGCUUAAACCCGACUCACAGUCGGGUUUAGCUAAUGCGGCAGUUUGCUGCAUUAGCUUGACUCAAUAAUGUAGUGUUGCUGUAGCUUUUUAUCUACCAAACAUGGGUUUGUAUAAAUUUAAUGCAAUGAGGAGCUUUAAUACAUCAACCAAACACACCCUUAAUGAAUUAAAUAAUAACUUAAUAACGAAUUAACGAUACAGUUUCAUCGAAAUUUACAAAUUCUUCUUACAAGAAAUUGUAAAUUCUAAGCGCAAUACCUACCAAUAAUCUGAUGCCCGCGAUCUUUACAAAUCAUUACAUAUUUACUUCACUAAUUAAUUAAUAAAGUUAAAACAAAAACAAAUAAACCCACGCUAUUAACUUUGCAAACAAUCCAACCCCACCAUCUCUUUUGAAAAAGAAAAAAUAAAAAAUACAAUCAGAGGAAGAAGACGCGUGUUUGAUUUUUACAAAUCGCUAAUAACUUUACAAAUCAUUACAUGUUUGAUUUUUUUUUUUAUAAUUUAUGUGCUCCUCUGAUUUUAUAUUUGUGGUGGGCUCCGUUUUACUUUUCACUUUUACAGUGGGUUUUUCUUGAUUUCUAGGCUUGCUAGACACAAUCACAAACUCAUUCCGCUUAUUCACUUUUCUCAUUUUGCUUUCCACAAACUCACAAUUCAGUUUCUUUCUCUGUCCAAAAAAACCCAAAAAAAGAAAAAAAGAAAAAAUGUCGAUCAUCGGAGAGGCAAUCCUUACGGCGUGCGUUGAGAUGCUGAUCAAUAAAUUAGCUUCAGAGGGGAUUCGGUUGUUUGCACGCCAAGGUCGAAUCCAAGCAGAUCUAGUGAAGUGGAAGAAUAAGUUGGUGAUGAUCAAGGCGGUGCUUGAUGAUGCUGAGGAGAAGAAGACGACUAAUGAUGCUGUGAAGUUGUGGCUUGGCGAGCUUCAGAACUUGGUUUAUGACGUUGAAGACUUGUUGGAUGAGUUCCAAACUGAGGCUUUCCGGAGGAAGUUGCUGCUUGGAAAUGGAGAACCAGCUGCUGCUCAUGAUCAACCCAGCAGCAGUCGUACAAGCACGAAGAGUAAGUUUCGGAAGCUCAUUCCUACUUGCUGCACCACUUUAACUCCACGGUCGAUUCAGUUCGAUUACGCCAUGAUGUCCAAAAUCAAAAAGAUCAACGACAGAUUUCAAGAUAUUGAAGGAGGAAUACGCUCGCUGAAUUUGAUAAAAAGUUCAGCUGGGGGGUCCAAAAAAGCCAGGCAAAGGCGAGAUACAACUUCUUUGGUGGAGGAAGCCAAAGUAUAUGGCAGGGAAACAGAAAAGAAGGAAAUUGUUGAAUUGUUGUUGAAGGAUGAUUCAAGAAGAUGAUCAAGGCGGUGCUUGAUGAUGCUGAGGAGAAGAAGACGACUGAUGAUUCUGUGAAGUUGUGGCUUGGCGAGCUUCAGAACUUGGCUUAUGAUGUUGAAGACUUGUUGGAUGAGUUCCAAACUGAGGCUUUCCGGAGGAAGUUGCUGCUUGGAAAUGGAGAACCAGCUGCUGCUCAUGAUCAACCCAGCAGCAGUCGUACAAGCACGAAAAGUAAGUUUCGGAAGCUCAUUCCUACUUGCUCCACCACUUUUACUCUGCAAUCGAUUCAGUUCGAUUUCACCUUGAUGUCCAAAAUCAAAGGGAUCCACGACAGAUUUCAAGAUAUUGAAGAAGGAAUAGGCUCGCUGAAAUUGAUAAAAAGUUCAGCCGGGAGGUCCAAAAAAGACAGGCAAAGACCACCCACAACCUCUUUGGUGAAUGAAGCCAAGGUAUAUGGGAGGGAAACAGAAAAGAAGGAAAUUGUUGAAUUGUUGUUGAAGGAUGAUUCAAGAAAUGAUGGUGGAUUCUCUGUUAUUCCUGUUAUAGGUAUGGGCGGGCUAGGCAAAACCACUCUUGCUCAGCUUGUCUACAAUGAUAAGCAGGUGGAGGAUCAUUUUGAUCUCAAGGCGUGGACUUGCGUCUCUGAUGAUUUUGAUGUUAUCAGGCUUACAAAAUCAAUCCUAAUUUCCAUUGCUCCUGGCCAGAAUGUGGAUAAUCACGACUUAAAUAAGCUUCAAGUGGACCUAAAUAAGACACUAUCUGGAAAGAAGUUUUUGCUUGUUUUAGACGACGUAUGGAAUGAUUGUUACGAUGAUUGGAUUCAGCUCAGCCUUCCAUUUGAAGCUGGUGCACAGGGAAGUAAGAUUAUUGUUACUACUCGCAAUCAGGAUGUUGCAGCAAUCAUGGGGACUGUUCCACCUCAUCCAUUAAAAAAAUUGUCAGAUAAUGACUGUCUAGCUAUAUUCGCUCAACAUUCUCUGGGGCCGCAUGAGUUAUUGGAGGAAAUUGGCAAGAAGAUAGUGACCAAAUGCGAUGGCUUGCCCUUGGCUGCACAAACACUUGGAGGACUAUUACGUGGAAGACAUGACAGACGGGUAUGGGAAGGUGUGCUCGGUAGCAAGAUAUGGGAAUUACCAGAACAGAGGUGUCGCAUUAUACCAGCCCUUGCAGUGAGCUAUUAUUAUCUUCCUCCAACUUUGAAACAAUGCUUUGCAUACUGCUCAUUGUUUCCAAAGGAUUAUGAAUUUGAAGAGGAGGAGAUAAUUUUAUUAUGGUGUGCUGUGGGUCUCUUGGAUCACGGAGAGAGCGGGAAUCCUAGUGAAGAUCUAGGUCGAAAGUUCUUUCGAGAGCUACGUGCAAGAUCUUUUUUCCAGCAAUCAAGCAACAGUAUAUCACGAUUUGUGAUGCACGAUCUUAUCAAUGACCUUGCCCGUUGGGCUGCAGGGGAGACAUACUUCACACUGGAGUAUACCUCGGAGGUUAACAAGCAACAAUGUUUUUCCAGAAAUCUUCGUCAUCUAUCAUACAUUUGUGGAGAUUAUGAUGGCGUUCAAAGGUUUGGGGACUUGUACGAUAUCCAACAUUUGAGAACUUUUUUACCAGUAAUGUUGACAAAUAGUGAGCCUGGCUACUUGGCUCCUAGCAUUCUUCCUAAGUUGCUCAAACCCCAACGCUUGAGGGCCUUCUCACUGCGUGGAUACCACAUCUUCGAGCUGCCGGAUUCAAUUGGUGAUUUGAGGUAUUUAAGGUACCUUAACCUGUCUGGAACUGAGAUUAGAACUCUGCCUGAAUCAGUCAACAAGCUUUACAAUUUGCAUAGUCUUUUGUUGGAAGAUUGUGAUCGGCUGAAGAAGUUGUGUGCAGACAUGGGAAACCUUGCCAAAUUGCAUCAUCUUAAGAAUUCAAAUACGAAGUCGUUGGAGGAAAUGCCAGUAGGAAUUGGCAGGUUGACUAGUCUUCAGACGUUGUGUAAUUUUGUUGUGGGAAAAGGCAGUGGUUCCGGGUUACGAGAGCUAAAGUUGUUGACGCACCUUCAUGGGACACUUAACAUUUCAAAAUUGGAGAAUGUAAAAGACGUUGGUGAUGCAAAGGAGGCUCAAUUGGAUGGAAAGAAGAAUCUUGAGGUGUUAAUGCUUCAAUGGACUCGCAGUGCCGAUGGUUCAUCUUCAAGGGAGGCUGAAACUGAAAAGGGCGUGCUUGACAUGCUAAAACCCCAUAAAAAUCUAAAACAAUUUUGUAUCAGUGGCUAUGGGGGCACAAAAUUUCCAACUUGGUUAGGAGAUUCCUCAUUCUCAAAUUUAGUGAUCCUAAAAUUUGAAGAUUGUGGUAUGUGUACUACAUGGCCAUCAGUCGGGCAACUGCCCUCUCUAAAGCAUCUUGCAGUGAGUGGAAUGAGUAAAGUAAAGAGAUUGGGCUCAGAGUUCUAUGGGAAUGAUUCUUCAACUCCUUUUCCAUGCUUGGAGACUCUUCGUUUUGAAGACAUGGAAGAAUGGGAAGAUUGGAUUCCUCAUGGAUCCAGUCAGGGAGUUGAAGGGUUUCCCAAAUUGAGAGAGCUUCAUGUUAUAAGAUGUUCUAAACUGCAAGGAACGUUUCCAGAACACCUUCCUGCAUUGGAGAUGCUUGCUAUUGAAAAAUGUGAAGAAUUGUUAGCUUCGAUUACGUGUCUUCCAGCUCUUUGCAAAUUAAAGAUUUAUGGAUGUAAAAAGGUUGUGUGGAGAAGUUCAACUGAUCAUCUCGGGUCACAGAAUUCAGUGGUUUGUGGAGAUACAUCAAAUCAAGUAUUUCUCACAGGGCCAUUGAAGCCGCGACUACCAAAAUUGGAAGAAUUGGAGAUAAAUGAUAUGAAAGAGCAGACAUAUAUAUGGAAGAGUCAUAACGAAUUACUGCAAGACAUUUGCUCUCUCAAAAGACUGACGAUUGACAGCUGUCCCAAACUUCAAUCCUUGGUGGCAGAGGAAGAGAAAGACCAACAACAGCAGCUCUGCGAGUUGUCAUGCAGACUCGAAUAUCUAAGAUUGAGAUAUUGCAAAGGCCUUGUGAAGCUGCCACAAUCAUCGCUCAGCCUCAGUUCCUUGAGAGAGAUAGAAAUCUACAAGUGCAGUUCCCUUGUUUCCUUUCCUGAGGUUGCUCUGCCUUCCAAGUUGAAGAAAAUUCAGUUUAGAGAAUGUGAUGCACUGAAAUUGUUACCAGAGGCAUGGAUGUCCGACACUAAUUCAUCUCUCGAGAUCUUGAGUAUUUGGGUUUGCCAUUCGUUGACAUAUCUUGCUGGAGUCCAGCUACCACGGAGCCUUAAGAGGUUGGUCAUCCUUAAUUGUGAUAAUAUAAGGACUUUGACAAUGGAAGAGGGCAUCCAGAGUAGCAGCAGCAGAAGGUACACCUCAUCUCUUCUUGAGCACUUACACAUUGAGAGUUGUCCGUCUCUGACACGUAUAUUUUCAAAAAACGAGUUACCGGCCACGCUUGAGUCCCUUGAAGUUGGCAAUCUACCUCCGUCUCUUAAGUCCCUUUCUGUUUAUGGAUGUUCGAAGCUGGAGUCAAUAGCAGAAAGGUUGGACAACAACACAUCUCUUGAAUACAUCAACAUUUCUAACUGUGAAAAUCUGAAAAUUUUACCGAGUGGUUUACAUAAUCUCCGCCAGCUUCAAGAGAUUACUAUACAGAGGUGUGGAAAUCUGGAGUCCUUUCCCGAAGGGGGAUUGCUUUGUGCGAAACUCACGAGGCUGACGAUACUUGAUUGUAAGAGACUAGAGGCCUUACCCAAGGGAUUGCACAAUCUGACCUCUCUUCAACAAUUAACAAUAGGAAAAGGAGGUGAGCUUCCAAGCCUUGAAGAAGAUGGCCUUCCCACCAACCUUCAUUCACUGUGGAUUGAGGAUAAUAUGGAGAUUUGGAAGUCAAUGAUUGAGCGGGGCCGGGGAUUUCACAGAUUCUCCUCUCUGCGACGUCUUACAAUCAUUAAUUGUGAU
rnacentral:lncRNA from 1 species